UUCCUCUCCCGCUGCCGAAGCAAAUUGUUCCUUGCCCAAUCCUCGCUUGCUCCACGCGAGCGCAUUGCCCACCCUCGAUCACCGCUCUCUCUUCAGCGAAGGUGCUCUCUCCCCUCUCAUCCACUGUAAUUCGUUUUUAGUUGAUUUUAAACCUGCCGAAUGAGCCAUCACGGAAACGCCACGGUCCGUCACUCCUCUUUUCACCACACCGCUCCUGCCCCACCUCUUCCUGUGAAAUUGAGGUCUUGGAAUUUGACGUUUGUCGAUUCACGUUCGAUUGAUGCUAGAUGCAAUCCUCUUUUUGUUGCUUGAUAAGGAAGUACUGAGUAUACGGACAAUGCUGUUUACUCUUAAUAUUGGAGCGAGGAAAUUGAGACUUCUUCAAUUGGAUUGAUUCCCCCAUUGGUGAUGAGCACUUCCGCCAAAUCAUUUUAGAGCUCAUGUGAAGAACGAGAUCGAUUGAGGUUGACCUUCAACAAA